AUUGAACGCUGGCGGCAGGCUUAACACAUGCAAGUCGAGCGAGCGGCGGACGGGUGAGUAAUGUCUGGGAAACUGCCUGAUGGAGGGGGAUAACUACUGGAAACGGUAGCUAAUACCGCAUACCAUCAGAUGUGCCCAUAUGGGAUUAGCUAGUAGGUGGGGUAAUGGCUAACCUAGGAGACGAUCCCUAGCUGGUCUGAGAGGAGGACAAGCCACACUGGCACUUGGACACGGUCCAGACUCCUAUGGUAGGCAGCAGUGGGGAAGAGUGCACAAGGGGCGCAAGCCUGAUGCAGCCAUGCCGCGUGUGUGAAGAAGGCCUUCGGGUUGUAAAGAACUUUCAGCGAGGAGGCGUUACUCGCAGAAGAAGCACCGGCUAACUCCGUGCCAGCAGCCGCGGUAAUUC
rnacentral:rRNA from 1 species